GGAGUACCGCUCCAUGUUACACAAGCGGUAUAAGUGGUGCAUGAGUCACGAGGAGGCCGCACUGUCCACACCACCGCACGUGACCGAUGACGACUGGUGGAUACUCUGCGAUAGAUUUUCGUCUGAUUCUUUUCAAAAGAGGAGCAAAAUAAAUUCUGACAAUAGGGGAAAGUUAGAAGUGAACCACGUAGCUGGUUCAAAGUCAUUUGCAGAAAUUCAUCACAACAUGCGAGAUUCCAUCACUAGCUAGCAGCCCGGACCAGUAGACCUCUACAGAGGGACUCACUGUCGAUAGGCGACGGAAUCUUGGGUACAUCCUAGAGCGGGCGAGAUUUGAGUAAAAAUCAUUACAUUGUAAAAUUUAAUUGCAUUAAAUUAUAAUAAUGUCAUUUUUUAGAGAAAAUUCAUAUGUUUUCAUAACAGGUGGCGAUGGACACCUUACGUAAUUAGCCCACUCCCGAUGGUACUUAGUGGAGUGAGCCGGAGAUCCUGAGUGAGGUGCUUGGCACCCGUUCUGGAUAUGUGGGUGGGCUUGGCCAUGGUGUCAAGCUCAUGGCACCCACUAGAGCUGCCUCCACCCAAUCCAUCGUCAUUAGCGAGAGCACCACCCGCCGAGCUGAUAUCGCAAAGAAAGAGGUUCAACAGCUAUGGGUCGUCAUCCAUGACAUCAGAGAGCAGCUGGAGAAGAAGAGUGAGCAGCUGGAGAGGUAGAGGAGGGAGCAGGAGAGGAGGAGGAUGGAGGAGCAGGCGAGGAGGAGAGAGGAGCAGGAGAGGAGGAUGGAGGAGAUGCGGGUGAAGCAUGAGCGACGGAUGACAGAGAUGUUUCAGGCUCUUGUUGCACCCUUACACACUGAUGCUCCACCACCUCAGCCGUCAUCUUUGUGAUUUUUUGUAUUUUAUUUAUGAUUUUAAACUUAUAUGUAUUUAUGUGUGAAUGAAUGUCAUGUUGAUAUUUAGAUGGAUUUACGUACUUUGGGUUUAAAUGGAUGUGAAUGUGAAUAUGAUGAAAUAUUUAUAUAACAGGUGUA